AAGUACCUGCUCGCAGCAGAAGCUGAGGACCAGAGCAAAGCUGCAUACUAGCAGCACUUUGUUUUUCUUGUUACUUAUUCAGCUCUAAGGCAACCUGAGAAGCAGCAAGGAACAAAAUCAACUUCCUGGGUCAUGCUGCAAGGAACAAAAUCAGCUUCCUGGUCAUGCAGCUUGCAAUACUCGGUGCCAUGAACAAUUCUACUUGCGCACUGGUACGUUUCAUGCCAAAACAUUUUCUGCACAAAACGUUGACUUAACUUUUUACUUACCAAUCUCUGUCUCAGGUCCAGGCAUGGAGUACCACUCGUCCCACUGGCCGACCACUCCACCACUCGUCCCACUGGCCGACCACUCCACCACUCGUCCCUCUGGCCGACCACUCCACCACUCGUCCCUCUGGCCGACCACUCCACCACUCGUCCCUCUGGCCGACCACUCCACCACUCUGCAACGAGCAGACUGCCAUCCAACUUGUUACUUUGUUGUGAUUGAAUGUUUACUCUGCAAAAGAAAUAAAGCUUUUUUACAAAUAA